AACGAACGCUGGCGGCAUGCCUAACACAUGCAAGUCGAACGAGCCGUUCGGGUCUAUUGGCGCCCGAGUGCGUAACCCGUGGGAACCUGCCCUUAUGUUCGGCCUACCUCCCCGACAGGGGUGCUAAUACCGGAUCAUAUCUUCUGCCCAAAGAUUUAUCGCCUUUGGAUGGUCCCUCGUUGGAUUCGCUAGUUGGUAGGGUAAUAGCCUACCAAGGCCACGAUCAUAGCUUGUCUGAGAGGAUGAGCAGCCACACUGGGACUGAGACACGGCCCAGACUCCUACGGGAGGCAGCAGUGGGGAAUAUUGGACAAUGGGCGAAAGCCUGAUCCAGCAAUGACGCGUGAGUGAUGAAGGCCUUAGGGUUGUAAAGCUCAUUUACCCGGGAUGAUAAUGACAGUACCGGGAGAAUAAGCGCCGGCUAACUCCGUG
rnacentral:rRNA from 1 species